rnacentral:lncRNA from 1 species
AAUCCUUUUAUCUGUUGUCAACACUUAAAGAUCAUUACAGAGUCCACACUGGAGAAAAACAUACAAUUGCAAAGAAUGUGGUAAGUUCUUCCAUUGGUUGUCAGACCUUAAAAAACAUUCCAGAAUCUACACUGGAGAGAAACCUUACAAAUGUGGGGAACGUGACAAAUCAUUUACCCACUGCUCAAAUCUUAAAGUUCAUCAGAAAAUUCAUGCUGCGGUGAAACCUUACAAAUAUGAAGAGUGUGGCAGGUUCUUUUAUUGCUUGUCAUACCUUAAAACACAUUCCAGCAUCCAUGGUGGAGAGAAACCUUACAAAUGUGGUGAAUGUGAGAAACCCUUUACCCAUCGCUGUCGUCUUGGAAAGCACAGCAGAAUCCAUACUGGAGAAAAACGUGAACAUAAGAAGCGGAUGAGAGCUUUGAUGAAUGAUUAAGUCAUAGAAAACACCAAGAGUUUAUAUUAAUUCAUGAGGACAAAAUGUAGUCAUAAAAUUCAAACCAGAAAGAGAUCAUAAGAAUGUUCACUGUUGUAAAAUCCUCACGUCUUGUGCAUUAGAAAUCCCAUGCUAGAGAACACAUGAUAUGCACUGAUUUUUUUUCCAAAGCCUUUACCUAGUGUUAAAAUUGUAGAUACAUCUGAAAAUUUAUCCUGAAGGAAAACCCAAAAGACUCCUUUAAUAAUGACUCCUCUUUUUCUUACUUUCAAUGUAAUCAUUGAGGAGUCAGACCAUACA